rnacentral:rRNA from 1 species
AUUGAACGCUGGCGGCAGGCCUAACACAUGCGAGUCGAACGGUAACAGGAAGCAGCUUGCUGCUUCGCUGACGAGUGGCGGACGGGUGAGUAAUGUCUGGGAAGCUGCCUGAUGGAGGGGGAUAACUACUGGAAACGGUAGCUAAUACCGCAUAAUGUCGCAAGACCAAAGAGGGGGAGCUUCGGGCCUCUUGCCAUCGGAUGUGCCCAGAUGGGAUUAGCUUGUUGGUGGGGUAACGGCUCACCAAGGCGACGAUCCCUAGCUGGUCUGAGAGGAUGACAGGCCACACUGGAACUGAGACACGGUCCAGGCUCCUACGGGAGGCAGCAGUGGGGAAUAUUGCACAAUGGGCGCAAGCCUGAUGCAGCCAUGCCGCGUGUAUGAAGAAGGCCUUCGGGUUGUAAAGUACUUUCAGCGGGGAGGAAGGGAGUAAAGUUAAUACCUUUGCUCAUUGACGUUACCCGCAGAAGAAGCACCGGCUAACUCCGUG